UACGUAGGUGGCAAGCGUUGUCCGGAUUUACUGGGCGUAAAGAGCGCGCAGGCGGUCAGAUAAGUCGAAUGUGAAAGCCCCCGGCUCAACUGGGGAGGGUCAUUCGAUACUGUUCGACUCGAAGGCAGGAGAGGGAAGCGGAAUUCCCGGUGUAGUGGUGAAAUGCGUAGAUAUCGGGAGGAACACCAGUGGCGGAGGCGGCUUCCUGGCCUGUUCUUGACGCUGAGGCGCGAAAGCUAGGGGAGCAAACGGG
rnacentral:rRNA from 1 species